GUGUCAGCAGCCGCGGUAAGACGAACCGUGCGAACGUUGUUCGGAAUCACUGGGCUUAAAGGGCGCGUAGGCGGGCCGACAAGUCCGGGGUGAAAGCCCCCAGCUCAACUGGGGAAGCGCCUUGGAUACUUUUGGCCUGGAGGGAGGUAGGGGCGUGCGGAACUUCCGGUGGAGCGGUGAAAUGCGUAGAUAUCGGAAGGAACACCGGUGGCGAAAGCGGCGCGCUGGACCUCUUCUGACGCUGAUGCGCGAAAGCCAGGGGAGCAAACGGGAUUAGAAACCCCCGUAGUCC
rnacentral:rRNA from 1 species